rnacentral:rRNA from 1 species
CGACCGGCGCACGGGUGAGCAACACGUAUGCAACCUGGCCGUGACAGAUGGAUAACCGGGAGAAAUCCCGCCUAAUACAACAUAAUGCCCGGGAGGGGACAUCCCCUGCCGGCCAAAGGGGGCGACCCCGGUCACGGAUGGGCAUGCGGCGCAUUAGGUAGUUGGUGGGGCAACGGCCCACCAAGCCGACGAUGCGUAGGGGUUCUGAGAGGAAGGUCCCCCACAUUGGAACUGAGACACGGUCCAAACUCCUACGGAAGGCAGCAG